rnacentral:rRNA from 1 species
AGCCCGUUAAAGGGUGAUGGCGUGCCUUUUGUAGAAUGAACCGGCGAGUUACUGUAUGGAGCGAGGUUAAGCAGGAUAUGCGGAGCCGAAGCGAAAGCGAGUCUUAAGAGGGCGCGAGUUGCAUGCAGUAGACCCGAAACCGGGUGAUCUAGCCAUGACCAGGUUGAAGUUGGGGUAAAACCCGAUGGAGGACCGAACCGACCCCCGUUGAAACGUUGGCGGAUGAGUUGUGGCUAGGGGUGAAAUUCCAAUCGAACCCGGAGAUAGCUGGUUCUCCCCGAAAUAGCUUUAGGGCUAGCGUCGAGAGAAGAGUUGCGUGAAGGUAGAGCACUGAAUAUGUGAUGGCCCCAUCUCGGGGUACUGAGCAUAAUCAAACUGCGAAUGUCACGCCAACAUGCUCGGCAGUCAGACAGCGGGUGAUAAGGUCCGUUGUCAAGAGGGAAACAGCCCAGACCAUCAGCUAAGGUCCCAAAAUGUAUGCUAAGUGGAAAAGGAUGUGGAGAUGUACAGACAACUAGGAGGUUGGCUCAGAAGCAGCCAUCCUUUAAAGAGUGCGUAACAGCUCACUAGUCGAAUGACUCUGCGCCGAUAAUUUACCGGGGCUAAGCAUACUACCGAAGCUAUGGAUCCCAAGGGAUGGUAGGGGAGCGUUCCAUGAACGGAGAAGUACGACCGAAAGGACGUGUGGAGAUCAUGGAAGAGAGAAUGCCGGUGUGAGUAGCGGAACGUGGGUGAGAAUCCCACGCACCGAAAACCCAAGGUUUCCAGAGGAAGGUUCGUCCGCUCUGGGUAAGUCGGGACCUAAGGCGAGGCCGAAAGGCGUAGUCGAUGGACAACAGGUAGAGAUUCCUGUACCCGUAUAUAUGUGAAGGAAUGACGGAGAGAGGAAGCUGCAGCCAGCGGCUGGAAGAGCUGGUGCAAGCGAGAUAUCGGGAUGGCAGGCAAAUCCACCAUCCGAAACGAGAAGGCGUGAAGCGUACGGAAAGCUACGGCGAGUACGGAAGGCAGUGGAGGAACUUCCAAGAAAAGUUUCUAACGUUAAGUAUAUAUGGCCCGUACCGAAAAUGGACACACAUGGGUGAGGAGAGAAUCCUAAGGUGAGCGAGAGAACUAUAGCUAAGGAACUCUGCAAAAUGACUCCGUAACUUAGGGAGAAGGAGUGCUCAUAGAGAUAUGAGCCGCAGUGAAACGGCCCAAGCGACUGUUUACCAAAAACACAGCUCUCUGCUAAGCCGCAAGGCGAAGUAUAGGGGGUGACGCCUGCCCGGUGCUGGAAGGUUAAGGGGAGGGGUUAACGCAAGUGAAGCCCUGAACUGAAGCCCCAGUAAACGGCGGCCGUAACUAUAACGGUCCUAAGGUAGCGAAAUUCCUUGUCAGGUAAGUUCUGACCCGCACGAAAGGCGUAACGAUUUGGGCGCUGUCUCAGCUGUAGACUCGGUGAAGUCUUAGUACCUGUGAAGAUGCAGGUUACCCGCGACUAGACGGAAAGACCCCAUGGAGCUUCACUGCAGGUUGAUAUUGGGAUUUGAUGCAGCAUGUACAGGAUAGGUAGGAGGCAAAGAGAUGGAUACGCCAGUAUUCAAGGAGCCGCUGUUGGGAUACUACCCCUGUUGUAUUGGAUUUCUAACCGGACGACGUAGAGCCGUUGACGGGACAGUGUCAGUCGGGCAGUUUGACUGGGGCGGUCGCCUCCCAAAGAGUAACGGAGGCGCCCAAAGAUACCCUCAGCUUGGAUGGAAACCAAGCGCAGAGUGCAAAGGCAAAAGGGUGUUUGACUGCGAGACCCACAAGUCGAGCAGGGACGAAAGUCGGGCUUAGUGAUCCGGCGGUGCUGAAUGGAAAGGCCGUCGCUCAACGGAUAAAAGCUACCCUGGGGAUAACAGGCUGAUCUCCCCCAA